CCCGCGCGAGGGAGCCCCGACCCGGCGGCAAGGUGCUGCGGUCGCCGCCGGACCCCUGUCCCGAGUCCUGGGAGAGCGGACCCCGCCUUUUCCCCAUCGCCAGGCUUCCCGGCCAGGCCUUGGUCCGCUCGUGUAGAAGCCGGCCAUCCCCGUGUCCCGCGGACGUCCCCGAGCCUCUCCUCCUCGUCCUUCCGUCCAAGGCAGCCGGAGUUCCCGAUUACCCUGGCAGAAAAACUCAGAAAGGCAUUGAUUGACAUAUCCUGUUCACCUGGACUACUUCAAAAUCCCUGUUUGACAAUCUGCAAACACAGCUCCUGCUUCGCUUGUCUUGGGCAUCUGGAGAGGGAGCACCAAGCAUGGCUUUUUCACUUGUCCUCAACGUCUUGACAUCAGUCGAAUUCAAAGGAUCUGGACCAGCGUGAUCUUGGGGAGGCUGGUGGCUGAGAUCCAGGCGAGGAUGCUGGUGAUGAGCGUGGUCCCCUGGAUGCUGGAUGGCUGGGAACAUGGGCCCCAAAGAGGCCAUCCUGCAAACCCGAAGAGGGAGGAGUCAAGAAUGGAGUCAGUGUUGUCAGCACUCCUACACAUGGUCAAACUGAGCUUUGAAGUCUCUUUCUUUAGCUGUGGGCCAUCAGAAAGGGGCCACCAGGGGUGGAGAAGCCAGAGCACAUCCCAACACGGAAGAGCCCCAGAUGCUGGGCCACGUGCCUUCGAUCAGCCUCUGGCGUCAGAGGUGAGCUCUGUGUGACACGGCAUUUCCUCUACAAUACUGUGUACCACAACUGGAUGAAGGAAUGAAUGAACAGAAAGAGAACUUGCAGGAGCAAAAUCUGGAAGAUUUGGCAAGCCAUUGGAGGUGGGGAUCUUUCUGGUGCAUGAAGAAACCCACAGCUGUGUAAAUAUGUUCAAUGAGCUGGUGAGCACUCGUGGAGAAGGAAGGGGGAUGGACAUGGACUGGGGUGGAGAAAGCACAGAUUUGGGGGUAACACAUGUUGCCUGCCAACACUGACUUUGCCAGGUAUCAGCCACGUGACUUUAGGAAGAUACUCCACACCCUCCCACCCCUG